CACCACCCCCCUCCAUAUGUCAGCGCCACCCUCCUCCGUCGUCAGCCAGCCACCCUCCCUCCGUAUUCAGCCAGCCACCCUCCUCCGUACGUCAGCCAGCCACCCUCCUCCGUAUGUCAGCCAGCCACCCUCCUCCGUAUGUCAGCCAGCCACCCUCCUCCAUAUGUCAGCCAGCCACCCUCCUCCAAUGUCAGCCAGCAACCCUCAUCCAAUGUCUGCCUCCCUCCGGCCAUGUGUCAGCCAGCCCCCUCCUCCAUGAUGUCAGCCAGCCACCCUCCGCCAUAUGUCAGCCAGCCCCUCCUCCAUAUGUCAGCCAGCCUCCUCCAUAUGUCAGCCAGCCUCCCUCCUCCAUAUGUCAGCCAGCUUCCCUCCUCCAUAUGUUAGCCAGCCACCCUCCUCCAUAUAUCAGCCAGCCUCCUCCAGAUGAAUGCGCUACUCAGAGGCAUGGCAGUCACGUUGUUGAGGAGAUUUUGGCAGUCACGUUGUUGAGGAGAAUUCGUCCUAACUGUAGAGAUGCUGAGUUGGCAUGGAUUAUGAUAGUCUAUUUCUUACAGAUUUGAAUUGUGAUUAAUUGUAUACCGGAAGAAAACACAGUAUAAACUACCUUAUCCAUCCUUUAUUCAUCUCACUGUGACCACCUGAUGGAUCUCUGGGCCUUUGGAAAGGGCUACCGGGAGGUUUACAGACUGACUGGCACAAUAAAUCACUCUGACUGUCUGAAAUCAGAAGGAUAAUCGAGAGACCAGUGGUAAAACUACCGGAGCUGAUUGGCGGCAGGCAACACACGCUCUCCCUGUAAUGUUGCCGCCGCGAGCGCUCUGUUCCAGUUAUCUGCCCUUGCUCUAGACCACACAGCUGCUGUACUUACCGAAGCAUCACCAAUCCCCGCGUGCUGACUGCGCAGGGGAGGAGAGGCCAGAGAGAGAUAAGAGCAUCCAUCCAUCCUCUCGUCCCUUUAUCAACGGUAACACCCCAUUCCCUCGGUCCUCCCGACACUCCCUUCUCACAUCGCUUAAGGCUCUACAAGGCUCGAGGAAGGCAGCUAGCGUUUUCGGUGUGUGUAGCAGCUACCAGGAGGCGCAAGGCAGAAUGCGCGAUGGGGCAAGCGUGUGGACACGCGCUCCUCUGCCGUAGCCAGCAGCACCAGUCCGCUGCUUCCGAUAUGUAAGUGCUACAGACCAGCGUGUGUUUUAUUUUGUGUGAGAAAGUGAAAGAGAUGCAUGGAGAGAGCUAUUCAUAAAGCUAUUUGUUCAACACAAUUUGUGAUGCUGUGCCUGUACUCUGGGUUGAUUGACAGGCUCUGUUCUAGGCAUGUGUAAGUGUUUUCUCAGGUGUCCAGGGUUGUUCACUCACCCAUCUCAUCAAGAGUUUACCGGAAUUUAUCUCUAGAGAGUCUACUGCAAAGUGAUGCUACAGGAAUGUGUGUGUGUCCAACCUGGUCUCAAAGGAUUUUGUACUAUUCUGUAUGUAAACGUGAAAAAACAAUUUAUUAUGAUAUAUUAUGUUUUGUAUGGUAUGUAUUAAUUUGUGGAUGUCCAUCAACCAUUUCGUAUGAUAUGUUACAAAUUACAAUUCGUAUUAUAUGAUAAAAAUGUGCAAAACAUACAAUAUGUUACGAAUUCUAGCUAGGUGGCUAAUGUUAGCUAGGCUAGGAGUUAGUGUUAGG
rnacentral:lncRNA from 1 species